ACGGGUGAGUAACGCGUGAGGAACCUGCCUCAAAGAGGGGGACAACAGUUGGAAACGACUGCUAAUACCGCAUAACGCGUAGAGGUCGCAUGGCCUUUACGCCAAAGAUUUAUCGCUGAAAGAUGGCCUCGCGUCCGAUUAGCUAGUUGGUGAGGUAACGGCCCACCAAGGCGACGAUCGGUAGCCGGACUGAGAGGUUGAACGGCCACAUUGGGACUGAGACACGGCCCAGACUCC
rnacentral:rRNA from 1 species